rnacentral:rRNA from 1 species
CUUGUGGUUCACUGAUAUGAAGAGCUUGCUCGGAUUUGAAGAUGAACAUUGCAAAGAGUGGCGAACGGGUGAGUAACACGUGGGAAACCUACCUCUUAGCGGGGGAUAACACUUGGAAACAAGUGCUAAUACCGCAUAAUACUGAUAACCGCAUGGUUAUCAGUUGAAAGAUGGUUCUGCUAUCACUAAGAGAUGGUCCCGCGGUGUAUUAGCUAGUUGGUAAGGUAAUGGCUUACCAAGGCAAUGAUACAUAGCCGAGUUGAGAGACUGAUCGGCCACAAUGGGACUGAGACACGGCCCAUACUCCUACGGGAGGCAGCAGUAGGGAAUCUUCCACAAUGGACGAAAGUCUGAUGGAGCAACGCCGCGUGUGUGAUGAAGGGUUUCGGCUCGUAAAACACUGUUGUAAGAGAAGAAUGACAUUGAGAGUAACUGUUCAGUGUGUGACGGUAUCUUACCAGAAAGGAACGGCUAAAUACGUGCCAGCAGCCGCGGUAAUACGUAUGUUCCAAGCGUUAUCCGGAUUUAUUGGGCGUAAAGCGAGCGCAGACGGUUGUUUAAGUCUGAAGUGAAAGCCCACAGCUUAACUGUGGAAGUGCUUUGGAAACUGGAUAACUUGA